rnacentral:rRNA from 1 species
UUGGAGGGCAAGUCUGGUGCCAGCAGCCGCGGUAAUUCCAGCUCCAAUAGCGUAUAUUAAAGUUGUUGCAGUUAAAAAGCUCGUAGUUGAACUUCGGGAUCAAUGGAUUGGUCAUGCCGAUGGUAUGUACUGGUCAUAUUGGUUCUCACCUUCUAAGGAACCAUAAUGUCAUUUAUUUGAUGUUGUGGGGAAUUAGGACUGUUACCUUGAAAAAAUUAGAGUGUUUAAAGCAGGCUAACGCUUGAAUACAUUAGCAUGGAAUAAUGAAAUAGGACAUCGCAUUCUAUUUUGUUGGUUUCUAGGAUCGAUGUAAUGAUUAAUAGGGAUAGUUGGGGGCAUUAGUAUUCAAUUGUCAGAGGUGAAAUUCUUGGAUUUAUUGAAGACUAACUACUGCGAAAGCAUUUGCCAAGGAUGCUUUCAUUAAUCAAGAACGAAAGUUAGGGGAUCGAAGACGAUCAGAUACCGUCGUAGUCUUAACCAUAAACUAUGCCGACUAGGGAUCGGAUGAUGUUGAUUUUUUAAUGACUCAUUCGGCGCCUUACGGGAAAC